rnacentral:rRNA from 1 species
UACGAAGGGGGCUAGCGUUGCUCGGAAUGACUGGGCGUAAAGGGCGCGUAGGCGGAUGGUACAGUCAGAUGUGAAAUUCCCGGGCUUAACCUGGGGGCUGCAUUUGAUACGUGUUGUCUAGAGUGAGGAAGAGGGUCGUGGAAUUCCCAGUGUAGAGGUGAAAUUCGUAGAUAUUGGGAAGAACACCGGUGGCGAAGGCGGCGACCUGGGCCUUUACUGACGCUGAGGCGCGAAAGCGUGGGGAGCAAACAGG